UACGGGGGGAGCAAGCGUUGUUCGGAUUUACUGGGCGUAAAGGGCGCGUAGGCGGCCACCGCAAGUCGACUGUGAAAUCUUCGGGCUUAACCCGGAAAGGUCAGCCGAUACUGCGGGGCUAGAGUGCAGAAGGGGCAACUGGAAUUCUCGGUGUAGCGGUGAAAUGCGUAGAUAUCGAGAGGAACACCUGCGGCGAAGGCGGGCUGCUGGGCUGACACUGACGCUGAUGUGCGAAAGCUAGGGGAGCGAACGGG
rnacentral:rRNA from 1 species